GAAUUUGCCCUAAAACCGACCAAACGCGACUCGAAAACAAAGGACACGCAGAAACUCCUCGAUAACUACCUCUUUUGUGGCUCGUCCAAAAUAAAUUUUGCUACCAAAUCCAUGCUUAAAAAAAUGCCGUUCGCAGAAAAUUUCCAAGGUAGGUACCAUAUAUGACAUCUGUUAUAGAAUUUGCCCUAAAACCGACCAAACACGACUCGGAAGGAAAGGACACGCAGAAACUCCUCGAUAAUUACCUCUUUGGCGGCUUGCCCAAAAUAACUUUUUGCUACCCAAUCCAUGCUUAAAAAUGUCGUCCACAGAAUAUUUCCAUGUUUGGUACCCAUAUAUGACAUCUUGUACAGAAUUUACCCUAAAACCGACGAAACGCGACUCAAAAACAAAGGACACGCAAAAAUUCCUCCAUAACUACCUCUUUAGUGGCUUGUCCAAAAUAACUUUUUGCUACCCAAUCCAUGCUUAAAAAUUUCGGUCACAGAAUUUUUCCAUGUUAGGUAUCCAUAUAUGACGUCUUGUACAGAAUUUUCCCUAAAAGGGACCAAACCCGACUCAAAAACAAAGGACACGGAAAAACUACUAGAUAACUACCUUUUUCUUGGCUCAUCCAAAAUAACUUAUUGCUACCUGAUCCAUGCUUAAAAAAUGCUGGUCACAGAAUUUUUCCAAGUUAGGUACCCAUAUAUGACAGCUUGUCCAGAAUUUACCCUAAAACAAACCAAAUGCGACGCGAAAACAAAGGACACGCAAAAACUCCUGGAUAAAUAUCUCUUUUAUGGCUCGUCCAAAAUAAGUUUUUGCUACCCAAUCCAUGCUUAAAAAAUGUCGUUUACAUAAUUUUUCCAAGUUAGGUACCCAUAUAUGACAUCUUGUGCAUAAUUUGCCCUUAAACCUACCAAAUGCGACUCAAAAACAAAGGACCCGAAAAACUCCGCGAUAACUAACUCUUUCGUGGCUCGUCCAACAUAACUUUUUAUAACCCAACCCAUAUAUGACAUGUUGUACAGAAUUUGCCCUAAAACCGACCAAACGCGACUC